rnacentral:rRNA from 1 species
AGUGAACGCUGGCGGUAGGCCUAACACAUGCAAGUCGAACGGCAGCACAGUAAGGGCUUGCUCUUACGGGUGGCGAGUGGCGGACGGGUGAGGAAUACAUCGGAAUCUACUUUUUCGUGGGGGAUAACGUAGGGAAACUUACGCUAAUACCGCAUACGACCUACGGGUGAAAGCAGGGGAUCUUCGGACCUUGCGCGAUUGAAUGAGCCGAUGUCGGAUUAGCUAGUUGGCGGGGUAAAGGCCCACCAAGGCGACGAUCCGUAGCUGGUCUGAGAGGAUGAUCAGCCACACUGGAACUGAGACACGGGCCAGACUCCUACGGGAGGCAGCAGUGGGGAAUAUUGGACAAAGGGCGCAAGCCUGAUCCAGCCAUACCGCGUGGGUGAAGAAGGCCUUCGGGUUGUAAAGCCCUUUUGUUGGGAAAGAAAAGCAGCAGGUUAAUACCCCGCUGUUCUGACGGUACCCAAAGAAUAAGCACCGGCUAACUUCGUG